GAUAGGGAGCGCGAGCGUGAAGAAACCGGCCGCCAUCUUACGGUGCUCACAACAGUCGCCGCAGCGAUCAUGGCAACUUCUUGCAAUUACGGUCGUACCAACCGUACUGGCAAGGUUACAGGGCCUAAAUUUAUACAGGUUUCGUCAUGAGGGCUACCCAGUGAAUAAUCUGUGUAGUGUGAUACGGCUGGGUGUACAGGUUACUUCACAGCUGCCUCGACAUACUCAAGAAAUGGGUGCAGAACCUGCGUAAUGCCCACAAACUUUGAUUACCACAGCACCUCCAAAAAAGUAUGUGUCACAUGGGAUUUUUAAACGUAUUCACAGUAUAUAAUACCUUCUAUUAACUGUUGUAGAUCUAAGCCGUCUCUACGGUACACUCUCAGAAAUUAAAACCGUGAGAACCGUGAUAAUUGUUUCAGUUAAUAGGGCAUGUUGUGGAACUUCCACUCUAAGAAUGACUGGACCUGAAUUCCGCAGCUCCCAAACACAACGAACCCUUUAUUAUGAUGAGAAGUCCUUUGAAGACAGCUCCCAGCAUUGCAGCCGUCUCGCAGAGCAUCCGGUUCCAAGCAGGCCGGAUCGCAGAAUGCCAGAACGUGAGCUUACCUCGCGUGGUUAGCUUUUCCCGGCCUCGUCUUUCACACUUGUCAAAAAAAUAUGUAACAGGGCAUGCACAUAUAUGCUAUAAGAAGAAAAUUAUUUCUUGAGAAUGCACUUCUCGCAUUUCUCUGGCUACUGGUGUUGUUUACAUCUACUGUUGAUCACAUUCAUUUAUCACGUAUUAUAUUCUUAUAUAUACUAUUAUAUUAACACAUAUUUGAUCACAUUAAAUUCAAAAUUCAUCAUAUAUAAGAAAAUACCAGGAGGGAAGUUGUGAUUCAUUGCUCAUUCUAACCUAAAAUUGAGUGCUACAAAUUUAGAGAGAGUACCUGUCCAUUGUCAUUCCUAAAAUAUAUAUUGUCAUUGUAGCAAGGUCAUAAAACAAUAAAUGUAGUCUUUUGUGACCUCCCUGCACGUUCAUUGUAUCCUGAAACGCAUAAGUGCAAGAAAUAAAUCUUGAACUUGAAUAAACUUGAUGUUGUAUGAACUUGACAUAAAAUGUUGAAUAGUAUAAUGAAUGAUAUAAAAUAUUGAAUAAACUUGAACUCGUAUAUUCUCUUUACUCAUCAUCAGUGACCUUCU